rnacentral:tRNA from 2 species
CGCAUUGUGACGCAGUUGGUUAGCGUGCCGACCUGAUAUGUCGGAAGUCGCAGGUUCGAUCCCUGCCGAUGCGAC